GGUAAUGGUCUUUCGUGCUUGCUGUUCAAAAUUGAUUUAGAGGGUGUAAUAAGAAGAGCGGGGAUAAACUCGAGCGGAACGAUUUUCACGAAGUACCUUCAGCUGCUUGGCUUCACUGAUGAUAUUGAUAUUGAAGCUCGCAAAUUUGAGACGAUGGCGGAAACGUACAUCCGACUAAAGAACGAAGCCAGGCGAAUCGGAAUAGCCAUUAAUGCGUCAAAGACAAAGCAUAUGACGGAAAAGAGCUCCUGGGAGGAAUCACCGCGCCCGCCACCCCGAAUUUCUAUCGACGGUGAUGAUAUCGAGGCGGUUGAAGAAUUCGUGUACUUGGGCUCACUGGUGACUGCCGACAUCGACACCAGCAGAGAAAUUCAGAGACGCAUUGUGGCAGGAAUUCGUACUUACUUUGGACUCCGCAGAACUCUGUGAUCGAACAAAGCUCGCCGUCACACGAAGUUUAUUAUCUACAAAACGCUGAUUAGACCGGUAGUCCUCGAAACACGGUAGGGCACGAAUCAUGGACUCCACGUGCAAAAGACCAGUUUUCGAACGGAUGGUGUUGCGUACCAUCUACGGCGGAACGCAGAUGUAAGACGGGGCUUGGAGAGGGCACGAGCUGCAUCAGCUGCUAAGAGAACCAAAAAACGUCCACACCGCGAAAAUUGGGAGGCUACCGACUAAGAAAGCAAUUAUGUUGUAUUUAUUAUGUCACCUUAAUAAUCUGAAGAAAGCUGGAACGAUUCCAAAUGUUGACUACAUCCAAUAUGAUUAAUUGUUCUAGACCGAUUAGAAGUGGUUUCCAAAAUUAUCUCAUGAUAAUUAAUUUUUCGCUUUAUUCACUCGUCGCCAUAACAAAUUUCAUCGCCGCCAUCCAUUAUUCCAACCGCUGGCGUCACUACAUUUCGCGGUUCCCGAAACAGGCCAGUCGACUAGGCAGUCGGGGAGCGGGGGUACGCGAAGGACAAAGAUUUAAAACUGGCUAGAAAUUUAUGUGAUUUUAAAACAGUUCACCCCUGGAGAAGAACGUAAAGUUUUUCGUUCUAGUUCUUUUGGGGGGUGAUACCGGCACAGGACACGGUCUGCUACUACUGGUACUGUUGUCUCUACUUGUUCCCUUUUGUUCCGCACUGGGAACUGACACCGUUCCGGUUAUGCUGCCGAGUUCCUCCCACAACAUCAGUUUGCACAUUGUUUUAGGCACUAGGCUCUCUUUCCUUCCACACAGCCACCUACAUUUUCUUUCCUUGCGACUGGAAACGAUCCAUUAUGCAGGAAGCCAGGAGAAUAAAAUCUUCAUUCGCACAGCCCGGCAUGGAGGUGGCCGCGCACUACACCGCACCGUCGUCGUCGUAUCGGGACGACCGCGGCCGGAAGAGAGAAAGUGACUUACGAGUUUCUUUUUUCCGGCCUCAGACAGAGUGUUGUUGGGAGCAGAAAGAAGGAAAAUCUGGCGCCCUGUGCCUGGUGGUAGCAAAGUCGACAACGAACGGAAAGUUGCGGCUGACUGAUGUUGUGUAGUGAAAAUGUGCCAACAUUCUUUCCAGCCUGCCCCAACAAUGUUAGGAGGCGCAUUAUGUUGGAUGGAGUAGACUGGGACUGGAAAGAAAAGUGGUCAAGGGUGGUUUGGGAGUUGGGUAGGUGCUGGGACAAGUCUCGACAUUCAUUGUUAUUUUACACCAGAUAAACCAGCAGAUUCUACCAUUAUGCGGUUUUGGUGUUUCUCUAGGAUUUCUUUUUUCGAGCAGUUGAAAGAAAUGCAAUGAUUUUUCUAAAACUGAGCCUGAAUGGCUAUUGCUACGUAGUAACAUUUUUCAAUAAUUUUUGUGCAGUUGAUUACAAGAAAAAUCAUCUCUCAGUAAUCGAAGACUUUGAUAAUUUUUCUCAUCACUUUUUUGAGAUAUUGCUUAUUUUUUUUUCUUACUGUCUCAGUGUGCGUUAAGACUUUAGUAUUAAUGAAACUGCUUUACAAGUACAGGUAUACCUCGAUGUAGUGGACAUUUUAAUAUUCGUUUUUUUUUAAUUUAAAUUGUUUACCAAAAUGUACCAAAACAAAUAGGAACUGCAUGAAAACUAAAUCUUCGAUAAAAGGCUCGGACUUUUUGGCAUAUAUUGGUAAUUCUCGCUAAAUAACGAAAAAACACUAUCUCGCUAGCAUAUUACAAUCCAAAUCUUUUGUCACCAAAUUAUGUACGAUUGAUUCAAAACCAAUAUUUUGAGCAAUGGACAUACACAAUAACUUUAUACACUAAAACUUCAAUUUAUGUUAUUUGUAUGCACUUUUAAUUUAUGCACCUUUUUUCAUACCCUGCAUAAAAAGAGGUAAAGCUACUCAUAACCAAUAUAGUGCAUAAGAAUAUUUAAUAAUGACGGUAAAUAUUGCAACGGCGGCCAGGGGGUGUUUAUAGGGAUGAGCAAAUGGAAGUCACAGGGGAGUUUCAGCGGGGUACAAGGAGAUCUUAGGGGAGUUUUCAGGGGUCUAACGGGGCUCUCGAAAAAAUUGCAGAGAGUUUCACAGGGUUUUCGACGGGUUUUGGAGGCGUUACAGGUAUGUUUUCGGGGGUUUCCGAAGGUCUCACGUGCGUUACAUGGGGUCCAAGGAGGCGUUAGGUAGCCGUUUUUGGGGGUGCGUUACAUUGGUCCCGAGGGGAUUUUGGAGGCAUUUCAGGAAGUUUCAGAGCAUUUUUCACGGGAUUCACAGGCCUUACGAAGGCGUUUUCGAGGGUUUCGGAGUGUCUCAGGUGUGUUACAUGGGGUCCGAGGGGUUUUAAAGGGGAUUUUGUAGGCAUUUCAGGAUGUUUCAGAGCGUUUUCGGCGGGGUUCAGAGCGUUACGGAGGUGUUUUAGGGAGUUUCUGAGCGUCUCAGGUGCAUUAUGUGGGGUUUGAGAGGGUUUUAGGGGGAUCUUUGAGGUGUUCCAGAAAGAUGUAGAGGACCGCAUCCGAAAGUCCUUUGAAACGCCCCUGAAAUGCUAUUUGAUUAAAGAUGUUCUUGAAACCCCCUGAUACGACCCUGACCUGAAAUACCUCUGUUGCUGCCAACACUGCCCGAAAUAAACAAUGAUCGUGCGCUAUAGACAAAUGUCAUACAAAACGAUUACAGAUUAGAGUCAUAAUUGUGAUACAUAGAGUGAAGAGUCAUGCCAAUGUAAUUGAGAGUUUUUUGACUAAUUAUGGUGUUAAAUUCUAAUAUUCCAAAAUCUACUGACAGCUAACAGUUGAUUUAUUCACUUGCCAAAUAGAUAAAUAUGAAGUAAACUAAAAUCACAGAAUUGUAUCACAAUAGAUCACAGAAGAUUAUAUAUGUUACGGGGUAAUUAAAAACUAUUGUAAAUGGAGCUGGAGACCGAAUUAUCUUAAAGCUGUUUUCGCACCCGUUAUACGGAGUUUGCGGUCUGCUACAAAGAAUUCACCAACGAUCCCCAUAAAUCCUCAUUACCACCGUAACA